CUAGACUAGCACAACUGCGAUGGGGCUUCUUACGAAGCGCCUACUACUAGUCCAUUUCAAGAAUCCUUGAACUACAUCAAUGUUUGAGUUGUUGGUUUUUUUGGAAAAGAUCACUUGGUACGUCAACUUCUGGUUCAACUUGGAGAAUUUUAGAGUAGAGGGCUUAACAAUCAUUGAAACUCCUCGUGGUGAAACUAUCUCCACACUGUAAGAUGAUUUAGCCUCCCCGACUUUAGUGACUGUUCUUGUAUAUGUUUGAGAAUUUGCUCCGAGUGUGAUAGAAAAUGAAGGAUAAUUUAGUUAUGCUUCGGGAAUACUUUUCACUUUCGAGCAAUUCACACUGCGUUGUAAAAUGCUUCCAACCUCUUGAUUUGUGUAAUUCAAACCACACAGAUAAGGUAAGUAGUCCUUAAAAGGGGUAUCAUAAAUUAGUCCAGGAUCAUUUGCUCUUGAUGGAUUGACAUGUCCUGCUCCAAUGGCAAAGACGUUAGCAGGUAGAAGCCUUUCAUCCAGGAUGGGCUUGUUGCCAAGGUUUUCUAUAUCGGCAGUUGUCAUGAUUGCUGACUUGAUAGCUGCAGGAGACCAAGUGGGGUGUGCGCUUUUCAGCAAUGCUACUAUUCCACUAAGGUGAGGACAAGACAUAGAGGUGCCAGAAAUAAUAUUGAAGGUGGAUUUUGUAUGUGUGUUGUUUUCCAUUGAGGUAGGCAAAAGAAGCAAGAAUGUUAACACCAGGCCCAAUAAUAUCAGGCUUCAAGAUUCCAGGACUGGCAUAAUUUGGUCCUCUAGAAGAAAAUGAAGCAACCACUGGUGCACUUUUAUCUCCUAUUAUUGUUCCUUGGAAUGUAAUUCUAGCAACAGGUUUAUUUGUUGAAUUCAUGUAUGCAAGAAUUUUCAUUCCAUCUGCAAAAGUAACAUCCAGGGCAGGAAGGACGUGAGCAUCGGCUGACAUUGUGAAACCAUCUUCCUCUCCAUUGAUGCUAAUCAUGCCAACACCUCCAGAAUACACUACAGCUUCGUCUUUCUCAAAUCUGGUAACACCACCACCUAACUUACACAAGACUAUUUUGCCUUCAUUACGUGGGAACGUUAAAUCCGGUUGGCAAAAAGGGCUCUCAUCAGAGUCACUUCCAUUUUUUCCAGGUUCAUAUAGAGGGAAAAAUGCUGAAUUGAAAGCCUUUGGAUGAAAAGAUGAUUCAGCCUCGAAUUCUUGUUUGUUUCCAAGCUGAACGGUGGCCUUAAUUUUCCUGUCAAGAGUACUUGCUCCUACGGUGAGAAUGCAUGGGGCUGCGUUUGCGACAGAGCUAUUAUCUGGACCACAAUUACCCGCAGAGCAACUUACAAGAAUACCUCUUUUUGUCGCACUAUACGCACCUUGUGCGACAGGAUCACUGGGGAAGGUCCUAGUGUUUCCACCAAGGGAAAGGGAUAGGAUAUCAACACCAUCGUCAAUAGCUUCAUCCACGGCAGCCAAAAUGUCACUGUCAUCACAACCGUCAUCACCACAGGCCUUAUAAAUAGCCAGGUGAGCAAGAGGGGCAAUCCCGAUUGCAGUGCCAUUAGCAUUCCCAUACACGUUGGCGCCUUUCACGAAACCCCCAGCAGCUGUGAUGGCAGUGUGAGUACCAUGUCCAUCAGCAUCUAUAGGUGAGCCAUUGACUUGUAUGAAUGACUUUGCUCCAAUUAGCUUGUUGUUACACUUGCCAGCGAAUUUUGAUGCGCACUUGCCCUUCCAUUUAACAGGUGGAGGAGGCAUCCCUUCGUCGCUAAAUGAAGGAUGGUCAGGUGAAAUGCCCAUGUCCACGACUCCAAUGAUCACACCUUUACCAUAGUUGGAAUCCCUCCACAAAUCCGUGUUCUGCUGCAAUCCAAGAAAGCUUGGAGUAUGUGUAGUGUGUAAAGCCAAUACCCUCCGUGGUUGUGCAGAUAUGAAGCCCCUUUCGCGAUCAGAGACUGACCCUUUCGCGACAAGGCUCUGUUGGCCAAUGCUGCAAUGCUGGAGACUAUGUGAUCCCUUUGGAUGUUUAAUUGUUCAGUAAGUUUUGGAGCUGCUAGGUCAUAAGUUACCAGAGCUUAAUGUUGAAGUUAUAGCUGAGAGGGGUAAUCCGGAAAUGAGACCAGAAUCGACAAACUUUACAUAUAUAGGACAGUGGCAGGAUAGAGGGUAGACGCCCCUGACUUUGUUUGGAUAAUUGAUGAAGAUUCAGCAUCAGCGCGAUAUAGUAAUGGGAAUUGCUCUGUGGCUUCUGUUUAGGAAGAGAGCAGGUAUUUAUUUGCUUGAGCCUUGUGUAGUUGCAGUGCUGGUUCUUGUGGGAGCAUUGGGAGCUAAAUUGUAACACUCCUCAAAUCUAUAAAAGUUUCAACGCAUGCUAAUUAUAAAAUUUAAUUUUUUUUUAUCUUGGCUUAAGUGCAUAAAAAAAAUUAUACUUCUAUUAUGGAUUUAAACCCUGGCGAUUAACUUUUGAGUUACUUCUUUAUUUAAAAAUAAUUGGAUAUACAAUUAGGGGAAUAUUAAUAACUUUAGUAUUAUUAAUUAUUAAAAAUGGGUUUCAUUAAUUAUUAGUUAAGUUAAAAAAAAGAAGGGGACAAGCCUAAAGCCCAUAAAGUGGGAAGGCAAAAGGAUAGCCUUAAACAAAUCAGAAUUAAAAAGCCUCAAGGCUGAAAAGCCUUAUACGAACAAACAGAAGGCUACUUCUAUUAUUCACACAAAGGCGGAAGGCUAAAAAGCCUUAUUCGAAAUAGAGAACAGCAAGCACAAGGCUACGAAACUUGCACGCAACGAAAAUUCUAGGAUUCUUUACAAAUCACUAAUUCUUAAACUCAGGUAUAUAAAAUUCCCUAUUGUCAACUAUCCUAAAGUAGUGGUAGGUAAGAAUUGAAAAGUUAAUUUCAUUCUUUCUCUGUAUCAAUAUUAAAUUUCAUGUUUAGGUGUUAAACUUUGAAAUUAAUUAAAAUGCACUAGUUGUUGUAGAAUCAAUUGUUUGACGGGUAUAAAUUGGACUGGGGCCUACGUAUUGGCUCGAGGAGUUUUGAGGUGAGUUGAUAUAACUCCUUACUAAAGUGGUUUAACUCACAAAAGCACACAUAUAAGGUGUUUGAUUAAUUGCUUAAAAGAUUUAAUAUGUACCUAAUUGGAACGAGUGAGUACCUAUUAACUUAGAAUUGUUCUAGCUAAAAUUUAGAUGAUUUAUUAUGAUAUAUGUGCAUAAAUUUUCCGAUUUUUAUGUUAUUCUUAUAUGCCAUUUUCAUGUUGAAAAUUCAUGAAGAAGCAAGAAUCUUUAGAAAUACUUUUGAAUGUUUAUUUCAUUCUUAUGCCAUGCUUUACAUUUAAAGAUACCAAUAUGAGUAUGUAUAGGAUGUUCCAGAAAAGAUUUAGACUUGAAAAGUCACAAGAAGAAGUUUUAGAAAGAAAAGAUUUUUGAGAGUAUCCUCUAUUCUGAGAAGGGGUCAUCGUCCAGGCCGAGGGUCCUGACCAAGGCGUUGACUUCCUGAAACUACUUGUGCCAAAGUAGGGAGCACACGAGCCGAGGGUCUCGUUGCUGAGAAUUUACUUAGCCAGGCUAAGGUAUGAUACAUGAGCGCUGAGAACCAUGAAGCGAGUGGCACCUUGUAGAUUGGGCCUAUUCGAUCAGGUUGGGAUCGAACCCGUGCCGAUCACACGGUGACUAAGACAGAAAUAAGUCAGGAUAGUUGGAACUCCCGAAGUAUGAAGUGAAGUAUUUUUUUUUAACAAAGAAAAAGAAAAGAAUUUCUUUUAAAAUAUUCAUAAACAGUUGUUAUGCAAUUAUUUUAGAAUUGUUGUUAAAAGCUUUAUAUUUUCCAUACAUCUAGAAUCUUUGCUUGUAAUGUAUAUUUUAUUAAGGUUUCGUCCCCUGUCGUUGAGACUCACUGAGUACAAUGCAUGGUACUGAUGUUCUCUUUUGGGAACCUACGUUGGUCUGCGGUACAACGUAGGAACCGAUUUUGCAGUCGAGCAGGCUACAUGUUAGGACUUCCCUCUCUUCCAGUCCUAUUGGUGAGCUCCACUUUUGUUCGUAGAGUAUUCCUUUGAGUCAUCUUUCUUUAGUUAUUUCUUUGUUUACUUGAAGAACUAGCCAGGUAAUCUCAUGUCCUGAGCAGUGCGUUAGUUUAUCAGUAGAGGAUUCAUAGACACAGUCAGUGGGUAAGAUUCAGAUAUUUUUGAUAAUAACUUAGCAGUAUGUCAGCAGUUACUACAGACAAAGUUUGGAGUUGGUUAUUUUAGAUACUCAAAUUAAUUAAAAGUAUUUGGUUAAAGUAUUGCCUUGUUGCAUAUAAAGUUUGAAGUUAUAACAUAUUUGGUAAGCACAGAUGGUUCGCUUGGUCAAGUUAGUGAUCGUGUGCCGGUCACGGCUUGUUCAGAAAAUGGAUCGUAACAAACUUGGUAUCAGAGCCUCAAGUUUAUGGAGUCCUAGGGGUCUAUGAAGCCGUGUUAAUAGAGUCUUAUUUAUGGGUAUGAAGCGCGCCAUACUUAUAAAUAGGAGGCUACAUGCAUUUAGGAAAAGUCUCAAUUUUGUUUUCAUACUUUAGAUCGUACAGUAGAGCCUACCUCUAAGAAAUUAUCUAAUGUAUUCAUUUCUCCAAAAACUCGCAGAAAUGGCUCGUACCCGCAAUUCUGACACCGACACUCAGGAUGCUGCUCAAGAAACUAUUGCUACUAUUGUGGCUCAAGGUAGAACUAAGAGGGCUUCAACUAAGAAAAGGAAGAGUAAAUCCACAAAGGGGGUUCAAGUACCUCGGGUUGAACAUGAAGAAGGGGUGGAGCAUGAUGAGCCAGUACCUCAGGAUCCAACUCCGCACCAACAACAGUUCCGGCUCAGAAAAAUGUAUCUCCAGAGGUGGGUCAGAUGCUUAAUAUUGUCAACAGUGCUAUGGAGAUAUUUAAAGCCUUCAUGGCCAACCAGAACGAUAGAAGAGAUAGAUUCCACCUCAAUCAAAUAUACAGAACAAUUCUGAAUCCUCAAGAGUGAAUGAAUUUUUAAAGUUGAGUCCUCCAUUGUUUCGUGGUACUAUAGUUGAUGAAGAUCCAAUGUUGUGGCUGGAGGGUGUCAAGAAAGCCCUCCGAGCGAUGAAGGCAUUUGAUGAUGAAGUUGUGGAGCUGGCUGCCUACCAGCUUAGAGAUGUGGUUGUCGCUUGGUUUGAGAUGUGGGAAAAAGAAAAGAGAUAAAGAUGAUGGUCCGCCUACUUGGGAAGAAUUUGAAGAGGCCUUCAUGGAUAAUUUUAUACCAGAAUAGGACAGGGAAGCUAAAGCUACAGAGUUCGAGCAACUCAAGCAAGGGAAUAAAAGUGUGCAAGAGUACUACAUGGAAUUCAUAAGUUUGGCUAAGCAUGCGUGCGCAAACAAAAAGUUUCCAGAAAGUCCGUGCGCAGUCCGUACAAUUUUUCGUACAAUUUUUCAUGGCUAAGCUUGCGUGCGUAGUCCGUACAAUUUUUCAGAAAGUUUUUAUGUGAAAAAAUAGAUUAAAAUGUGAAAUAGAGCUUUAAAACUCAACUAAGUUGACUUUGGUCAACAUUUUGAGAAAAUGGAUCCAGAUCAGUAUUUUGACAAUUCUGGUAGGUCCGUAUCGUGAUUUGGGACUUGGGCGUAUGCCCGGAAUCGAAUUCCGAGGUCCCUAGCCCGAGAUAUGGAAUUUUGAUCAACAAUUAAAAGCUUGAAAGCUUAAUGAGUUUUAAGAAAUUACUGAUGUUGGAUUUAUUGACCUCGGGUCCGUAUUUUNNNNNNNNNNNNNNNNNNNNNNNNNNNNNNNNNNNNNNNNNNNNNNNNNNNNNNNNNNNNNNNNNNNNNNNNNNNNNNNNNNNNNNNNNNNNNNNNNNNNNNNNNNNNNNNNNNNNNNNNNNNNNNNNNNNNNNNNNNNNNNNNNNNNNNNNNNNNNNNNNNNNNNNNNNNNGUUUUAAUGUUUUCUUAAAAAUUUCAUUCGAUUUGGGGUCCAAUUCGUAGUUCUAGGUGUUAUUUUGGCGAUUUGAUCGUGCGAUCAAGUUCGUAUAAUGUUUUAGAACUUGUGGGCAUGUUUGGUUUGGAGCCCCGAGGGCUCGGGUGAGUUUCAGAUGCUUAACGGACAUUUUUGGACUUGGAAAAAACUGCAGAAAUCUACUUCUUGUAUCCUUCUCCGCGUUCGCGAGAGGGGACUUGCGUUCACGAAGAAGAAACUGGAGGCAGGUGAAAAUUACUAUUCGCGUUCGCGAAGAGGGGGUUGCGUUCGCGAAGGGAAGAGGGCAGUGUUAAUCGCGUACGCAUGGAAGCGUUCGCAUUCGCGUAGAAGGAACGAGGCACAAGAUGAAGCACAAAAUUUGUGCUAUGCGAUCGCACAAGGUGGUUCGCGAUCGCGGAAGGCUGAGAAGUUGUGGUUCACGUUCGCAUAAGCCCUUCCGUGUUCGCGUAGAGUUAAGAAUUUGGCAGCCAAAAUGUGCUUCGCGAUCGCGAAGCCAUUCCCCCGAUCGCGAAGAGUAAACUGAACCUGGGCAAAAGUUGUUCUACGCGAUCGCGAACGAAUUUCCGCGAUCGUGAUGAGUAAAAAUCCCAGAAAUAGAACUUUAAGUUUUGAAAAAUGGGAUUCGUCCCAUUUUCAACUCUUUUCCAUUUUUGAGCUCGGGUAAGGCGAUUCUUGGGCGAUUUUCACGGGAAAAUAUUGGGGUAAGUGUUCUUUAUCCUAUAUUGAUUAUAUUUCAUGAUUCCAUACUCAUUUAUAUCAUGAAUCCGUGAAUUUAUGGAAGAAAAAUCAGAUUUUUAUAAAAUUUUCCAAAAAUGAAAGUUUAAGAUUUGAUGGUCUAUUUGACAUCGGAAUUUGAUAAAUUUUGUAUGGUUGGACUCGUAUCGGAACGAAUGUUCGGAUUUCAUAGGUUUUCCCAAGAUUUUGAGAUGUGGGUCCCACUGUCGAAUAUUUUAAUGAAUUUCGGAUUUUUAUCUGGAAAAUUAGUAAAUUCAUAUGGAAUUAAUUCCUAUGAUUCGUAUUGAGUAUAUUGAAUUGUUUAUGAAUAGAUUUGAAGCUUUUGGAGAUAAAUCUAAAAGGAAAAAUUGUGGUCGAGUAAUUGAUUGGAAUUUGCAAAGCGAGGUAAGUGUCAUGGUUAACCUUGACUUGAAGGAAUAGAACCCUUAAACUAUUUGUUAUGUGAAAUGCAUGUGAACGACGUAUAGGCGAGGUGACGAGUGUCUAUACGUCAUCAAAUUCAUUAUUUGCAUAAUUACUUGAAAAAUCAUAAACCGUUUUAAAUCAUGAAUUAAUUAUUAUAAUAAUUAUUUUUCUCUUAUUCUUUGUCAAGUGUUAAUUCUUGAAUUCCUGCAUUAAUUGUUACAUGCUAUUUGAAUUACGUGUCUUAAUUGUUAUUUGACAUUUAGCAUAUUAAAUAUUAAACUACCUAUUUUCUCCCUGAUUUCCUUAAUAAUUUAUUAUUUGUCAUUGUUUGUUUCAUAAUUAAAUCAUAAUUAUUGUAUGCUUGUUGUUUUAUAAUUUUAUAUUAAUUGUUGCAUUUAUUGGGGAAAUUUCAUCUAUAAGAAUUGGUAAAUGAAAAUGUUGGAGGAGCGGAUUGCACGCCGCAACAGAAUUGAUUGAAAUAGAUAUAUUGAAGGAUCGGGUUGCAUGCCGCAACAAACAUAUUAAAAGUCCAUAUUAGAGGAUCGGGUUGCACGCCGCAACAGACUUAUUAAAGAGUCGAUAUAUAUAUCGGGUUGCACGCCGCAACAGACUUGAUUAAAAUGAAUAUAUUGGAGGAGCGGGUUGCACGCCGCAACAGAAUUGAAUAUGAAUAUAUUGUGAGAGCGGGUUGCACGCUGCAACGGAAAUUGAUGGAAAUGAUAAUUGGUUAUGACUGCUGAGUUGACUUCAAUUAUUAUAAAUGAGUUACCUGAUUAUUUCUAUUAUUUGUUGUUAUUACUAAUAUUGCGUACAUGUUAAUGUAAGUGACCCGCCUUAGCCUCGUCACUACUUCGUCGAGGUUAGGCUCAGCACUUACCAGCCCGUGGUGUCGGUUGUACUGAUACUACACUCUGUACUUCUUGUGUAGAUUUCGGAGUUGGUCCUAGCGGCGUACUAUAGACUUGCUCGGAUUUCAGCUACUCAAAGGAGAUUUGAGGUAUAGCUGCACGGCGUUCGCAGAUCUGAAGUCCCCGUCUACUUUACUUUAGCUGUGUGUUUGUUUUUAGACAGCUUUAUUUUAUUCAGAUAUUUAUUUGUAUUAUUCUAGAAGCUCGUGCACUUGUGACACCAAUUCUGGGAUGGUAUUUAGACACCGUUAUUUUUAAAGGAUUAAUCACUACAUUUCAGACUUUACUUNNNNNNNNNNNNNNNNNNNNNNNNNUCUCAUGUCCUAAGCAGUGCGUCCGUUUAUCAGUAGAGGCUUCAUAGACACAGGCGGUGGGUUAAGAUUCAGAUGAUUUUGAUAAUAACUUAGCAGUAUGUCAGCAGUUACUACGAACAAAGUUUGGAGUUGGUUAUUUUAGAUACUCAAAUUAAUUAAAAGUAUUUGGUUAAAGUAUUGCCUUGUUACAUAUAAAGUUUGAAGUUAUAACAGAUUUGGUAAGCACAGAUGGUUUGCUCGGUCAAGUUAGUGAUCGGGUGCCGGUCACGGUUUGUUCAGAAAAUGGGUCGUAACAUAAAUAUUAUGAGAGGAUUGAAGCUCAUAUGACCAUCAAUUGUACCCUUUAUUGAGCGACUUCACAGCAAUUAAUUUCAAAUAAAGAGUUUAAACUCUUCGCGUUGUGAUGUUAUAUCAUAUUUUUCGGUGCGAGGGGGCAUAUUUAAACUCCUCGCAGACUUUUGUAUCAUUAUGUAGCAGUUCUUUUUUUUCUUCUCUUUCUAGUGACAUGUUCUUCUGAUGAAAUGGUGCGGUUAUAUAUGUACCUCUUACCGACUAAUUAAUUAUGUAAUGUAUGGUUAAACAUUAGUUGUAAUUCUCUCUGAAAAUUAAUGUGUAUCAAGUCAUUAAUUUUUGUCAUGUCUUGUAAACUAAUGCAAAUGGAAUUCCAUUUGUUGAACUUUUAUAGUAUCUGCUACUUAUAUGCUCUUGUCAAGAUGCUAUUUUUGAUGUUGACUAUUCUUUGAUGUGUAUUGAUAAUAUAGUAACCAGAAUUGCUCUGUGGCUUUUGCUACGGUAUUAGUUCUGCGUUUAUCUUUCUCCUGCAUUUAUUUGCCCGAGUCUCGUGUAGUUGCAGUGCUUGUCAUGGUGGGAACAUCGGGAGCUAAAAGUUAUGGGAGAUGAUUGAAGAUCAUAUGACCAUCAAUUUUACCCUUUUGUUAAGCUGGCUUAUCCACAUUUAGUUAUGAAUAAAGAGUUUAAACUAUUCUGAGCAGAUGCUUCAAGUUGAGGGCUCCUCCAUAGUUCGAUAAUUUUUAAUGAACCAAAAUCCACGAAACUAUAUCAGCAUUUGGAGCAUCAGGCAACCAGUGUUGCAUGCCAAGAUCAUCAAUAAGUGGAGCCGUAUCUGUAUUUUUAAGACAAUUUGCUAUGGUUCCCUUGUUAAUUAAAUCAUAUAAUAUGUAUUCUUUUGUAACUUCUGAAUACCCCUUGAAUACAGCUGGUAUGGCUCUUGAUUCAAAUUUGUCAUGAUUAUUCACUCUUUUAGCAUAAGACAAGCAUCCUAAAACUCAUAAACGAUCCCAACUUGGUUGCUUGUUAUGCCCCAGAAUUUUAAAGGGAUGUCCCCUUGAAAUCUAAGAGCCCUUUCCACCUCCAGAAUGUGUCUAUGCUUUCUCUCAGUUAUGCCAUUUUGCUGAAGUGUGUAGAUACAUGUUCUCUGAUGUACUAUGCCAUAUGAGUGAAAUACUCCUGAUAAUCAUGAUACACAAAUUCUGUGUCUCCAUUACUUAAAAUCAGGAAGAAAAAGCACAUUAUCUACUAAGUCUCCAUUACUUAACUCACACGAUCCUAUAUGGGUUAUAAAAGUAACACCUUCAUUGAGAAAAUGAACUUUUUUGGCCUUUGCUUCAUUAAGCUUAAUCUUAUUAAGCAACAAGGUAACAUCAGAUAUCAUAUGGUUGGUCGCACCAGUGUUAAUUGUCCAUUCUUUUCUACCGGCUUCUACUAGAAAAGCAUGAAGUGUACCUUCCAUAUUACCUGAAUUUUCUCCAAUAUUUUCUUUGUUGAGUAGCUUCAGAAUCUGAGUGUGGUGUUCAUAAGUGAAGGCAGGUCCUCUAAGUGCAUCUGAACUGGUAGACUGAAACUUUUUGGCGUUACAAGUUCCUCCUCCAGGAACUUGCCUGUUGUGUUCUUCAACAGAUUCAUUGUGCGCAGCAUGAAAACCUCCUCACGUGUAUACCCUUUCUUUUUACAAUAGUCGCAUUGAAUAUUGUAAUUCUUCUUUUGUCUCUGCAUAAUUGCCCUCCUUCAGCUGAGGCAAAGGAAUUAGUCAUGCUUCACUGACUCUCUCGUUUAGUAAACAUUGAGUAGGCCUUAUUUAUAGCUGGAACUGGAAUCAUCAUAAGGAUCUGGCAUCGAGCCUGCUCAUAGGACUCAUUUAGACCCAUGAAAAAUUGCAGAAGUUUCAGCCGCUCCAUGAAGGUGACAAAUUCACGAGAUUUCACACAAUCACAUCCUGGAAUUGAAGCUAAGCAGUCAAAUUCUGCCCAAAGCAACUUUAUUUUUGAAAAAUAAGCAGAGAUUGAACUUGUACCCUGACUUAUUGUCGCAAAUUGCUUAUGAAUCUGAAAAAUCCUAGAGCAAUCGACCUUGUUGAAAUGCUCUGUUAAUUGUCCCCAAACUGCACUGGCAUUUGAUUAAUACACGAUUCCAAUUAGCAAUUCCGGUGAGACGCAAUUCAUUAUCCAUGACAAUACUGUAGCGUUGCAUUGUUCCCAAAGGUCAACGAGAUUUGGGAUGUAAUUCUCUUUCUUGCAUGUGCCUUCGAUGAACUCUAGCUUGUUGCGACCUAGAAUCGCAAUUCGCAUCGCUCCGCUCCACAGAGUAUAGAUCUCCGACCCUCUCAGUUGCAGAGUGAUCAACACUAGCUGCUCCAGAAUUGUCUGUAGCGGAAAAUCGGUCAUUGUGGGAUUUUCACUUCCCUUCGAGUUUGAAAGAUCUGUGGUUGAGAAAUUACUACUGUGGGAAUCUCGUAAGCUUAAGGAGAUUCCGCCUAGCUACGGUGAUAUUGGUUCAUUAAAAAUUAUCCGACUUGUAAGGAGUCCUCAUCUUGAAGAUUCUGCUAAGGAGAUUAAGCAAUAUGUUGAAGAUAUGAUGGGAGAAGACAGGAUUCAGGUCAUUGGCCUGAGUGAGUUUUGAGUGCUCUUAUCAGGGGAAAAAUAUGCGGAGUAUAGAUGAAUUUAUUACCUCCUUCAUUUCAUUUUAUGUGGCGGAGUUUGACCAGUGUAAUUUUCUUUGCAGAGUGCAUGUAUGGAAUAUGAGAUACAAUUCCCUUUGGCAGUACAUCAGCUUUAGAGGCUAAAGAUAAAUCCUCAAACUUCUAUUGCAUUGUCCCUUUCUUUUCUUUUAGUUAAAAAUGAAAAGAUUAUGAAGUCCAAGAUUUGUUCUACUUCAAUUUGAUGUUGUUGUAUACUCUAUUAUCUUUUUUUGGCAUGGCUUCAAUUGUUUGCAUAUCGUACAUUACAUCAUUGCUGACUCUCUGAUAUGAUGGGCAACAAGGAAGUGAAACAAAAGAUGGGCAAGAAAUACCAUCACUAACAUGUGAUCAAGAUUAGGUGCUUCUGUACAACAUUAGGCUUCAUCUGUAACAGUAAGUGUUAUUAGAAAUCCUCUAGUGCCUAUUCAUACAUCAAUCCCAUCUCAAAACUUCAGACAAAUUGGUGCAAAAAAAUGCACUAAUGAGAGUGGGAAAGAUGCAGUGUUGCACUCAAACUAAGAAAAAGAAGUUUAAUUUGAGUAGUACAGCUACUAGUAGUUGGGAUACUCUGCCACCAUUCCACCCUCAGCAAGGCACUUGGUCACCUCGUCGCGAUACAUAGUGUUCCAAGUAUGUUAUUUGUGCUGGUUUGGAAGUGUUACCUCUGGUUUGCCAAUCCAAGUAUGCUAUUGCUCAGGACUUUGCAUAUAGAUGCAGCUAGCUCUACAUGUGUAGAUAAUAAGUCCAUUAAAGAGAAGUUUGUUUACAAAUACACUUAGAUUGAAGGUGAUGCCUUGGUAGACAAACUCGAAUUGUCGGUCACAUUAUGCCAGAUAUAGUGUGACAUUACAAUCCCACAGAAAAGUACUGUAAGUAUUCCACUCAAGUAAAACAGUUGAAAGGCAGGGAUAAUUAUCAUGAUCAAUAAUCACACAAACUACGUAGAGUAGAGGUAAUAAGUUUAACCUCAAUACAGGUUUCUACGUACUACAAAACGUACUUCCGCCAUCACAUAUGAAAGGUAAGACAUGAGAAUCUUGAGAGCAACUUCGCGAUCAGUUGAGUGCCUGAAAAAAGUUAAUACCCUAAACCCCCCCCCCCCCCAAAGAACAUAGUUUCCUACUUAAACUAUUCGGUAUCCUCAAAACCCCCUUGAAUUAUAUUGCCCUUCAUAUUAAAAAUCCUUCAUUGCAUUCUUAGAGGUGCGUGUAGUACAUGCUCCUAAUUAUUUAAAAAAUGUGACAUGUAGCACUACACGUGGCUAUUUAACUUAGCCUAAAACCUGUUUAAACUAUCACUUUUUUGUCAGUUACCUACUUAAACUAUCUGGUGUCUCCAAAACCCCCCUAAACUAUAUUUUCCUAUAUAUUAAAACCUCAUGUUGGACUUUUAAAGGUGCGUCUGCCUAACUAUAUUAACGUAUGGUUUGUAAAAAGUUUUUUAUAUAGUUUAUUCAUGAUGUAUUACUCUCGGAUGAUUGAUUAAUUUUAGAAGUUUUGGCCAAAACAAUAUUUAAUGUACUGUGUUAAUUUUAGGUUUAAUUGUGAUUGUGCUUUAUGCUAAACUCCAAUAAGUCCUUAUUUAUAUUCAUUUUGUAGCACAGUAAAAAUAUAAAUAAAGGCAUAUAGUGUUGCAUUUCUUAAAAAUCAUCUUAUAAUACAUAAAAAGAUUACACAAAAUAAAAUUUCGCAAAUAAAAAAAUAAUUGGCCAACAAUUACAUUUUCUAAUUCCAAAUUACAUAAAGAAGGUUGAAGAUAUUCAACUUUAUUCUCUACAAGGUGUUGAGUUUAAUAAGAAAAUUUAAAUUGGUAUUCUUUCAACAAUAUGUGUAAGACAUGAAAAAAGACUAAAAUAAAAAAGAGAAUAAAUCAUUUCAGAGGAAACAAGAGAGGAUGAUUUUUUUCCAGAGGAAACUCAUAUGGAGAACCGAAGAAAAAAGGUUAAAAAAUGAAGAAGGUGAAAAAUAAAGAAGAAAGGUAAAAAAAAUAAAAUAAGGAAGAAUGGUUAAAAAUGAGGAAGAAAGGUGGAUAUAACUGAAAUAAGGAGAAUAUUUAUUAAAAAAUUAACUGUGAAAGAGGGUUAGGCUAAUUAGCCAUUAUUUUCCGUCAUAUGAGUCAUGCCACGCGCUUCCAAGCGAGUGUUUACACACGUUAUGCCAGGUCAGCAACGAGGGAGUUUUAUUAUGAAGGACAAUAUAGUUCAGGAGGGUUUUGGGAACACAAAAUAGUUUAAGUAGGGAACCGACAAAAAUGUGAUAGUUUAAUGGGGUUUUAGGGUAUUAACUCUUAAGAAAAUGGACUUUGCACCCAACUCUGCCUAAAAAACUAACUCAUGAGAUGAUGACGGCCCAAGAUUAUAAGAGGAGACAAUAACCUAUCCCAUCAACUGAUGUGAGACACUUAAGCCCCCCUCCCCCUCCGGACAUCUGGCACGUGGACUAUAUAACUGGGGAACCAAAUAUUUCACAGGGACUACAGAUUAUUAAGGCAUGUAAACUUCAAGAAUAGCACUGAUUACAAUGAGUUUAUCAUAGUAGGAAUAAACCAUAAAUAAGAAAAAGGAUUGCUGUUAAGAGCCAAUGAGUCAAAGAAAAAACUCUUAUAAUAGCUUAUUACAUUCAAGAAGUCCAUCCUCGGAAUAAAUCUACUAUGAAAGGAAAACUGUCCUAGCUUUCCAAUCACUUCAUUUUCUUUUUCCUAUUUUGACACGUAAGCCAAAGACUUGAACGGUGAUGUGGGUUGAAUAAAAUCAGGUUAAUUAAUAGCUCGAUGAGCGCCAAAUGACAUACAGUAACAAACUAAAUAAUUAAUUAAAUUAAAAGAAUGAACAUGGAAGAAAAUUAAGCAUACCUACCUGCCAAGAUAUAUCUUUUUGAUUAUGUAUGCGCUUAGCAACCCAACCUGCAUUUAAGAGCAAGAUAUCAUAUAACUAGUCUGCUUUAAGCCUCGUUAAGGCAUAAGCGGAUUGACCAGACAUUUGAUGUGUUCAACUAAACCCAUUAUUUUCCAUAGGGAGUACAGAUAUACAUGUGAACAAUUACUAAAAUGUCAACAAUUAUUAAAUUAUGAACCCAUAAUUCCAAAAGUCCAACGAGUUUAGUAGUAAGAACCUUAGGCUGAACCCAUCAAGUUUAAAUAUUGGAUUUGCCUUUGCGUUAAGGUUUUUGUCCGUUUUUUCCAUAAAUAAAAAUAGAUAGUUAGCAUAAUCUGAUCAAAUGAGGAAGUAUGAAAAACUAGAAAAAAUUGACCAAGUUCAAACAACAUUACUUAAGGAGAUAUGAAAAUUUUUAGACUUCACAAAUCAAAAUCCGCUUUAUCUAGGAACAAGGCAGCUAUAAGUAUUGCAACUACUUAUAAAUCUUAUAAGAGUUUGAUCCUGGCUCAGGAUAAAUGCUGGCGGUGUGCUUAACACAUGUAUUUGUGUUUGAUCCAAAUACCUGCUUUUGGAAGGGAAGAACGGCUGUUAACACCCCGUAGUGUGAGGAGCAAAAGGAGAAAUCUUCCCAAAGGAGGGGCUUGUGCCUGAUUAGCCAAAAAGUAAGAAAAUAGUUGGUGAUGAUCAAUAGCUGGUCCUAGAGGAUGAUCAACCACACUACGACACGGCCCAAACUCUUAUGGGACAAACGUAGGAAGGAGUGGCUAAUGCGUGUAAAACAUAAACCAAGAAAGCUACUUACCAAAACUCCCAGCAAAGUGCUUGCAAGAAAUAGAUAGAGAAAACUUCCGGUGAACGAUAAGGCAAUCCUUGAGUUGAUGUUGGAGAGAUCCAUCUUCUGGAUUGCAUUAAAAAGCACCACAGAUGUUGCAUCAUUUACGACUCCUUCCCCAAAGACUACACUGUAGAGUAGAGGUGUCUCAUCCUGAUUAAGCACCUGAGAAUUAAACUCACAACAUUCAGUCCACACAAGUUGCUAUCUCAUAUCUCUUUUACUCAUAUAGUCCAUCUGCAAUUUUUGGCGGAAAUCCGUACCUGCAAUGUGCAAACAGAGUCUGUUGCUGAAAAAAUAGCUCCAAUCGCUACAGAAUAAGAAUUUGAAAUCAUCAGAAGAUGAGAGUCAAUCAAUCUAAAGAAAGAUGCCAACCAUGAAAAAGAUAGAGGUAAAAACUUUACGUAUUUCAUAAAAUGAAAUGAUUAUAUAAGGAAUGGUUCUUUGACCAUCAAAUUCGGAUCAAGAAAAUAUUUUUACAAGGUUAUGGCACGACGAUGGAAUUUAUUUUGAAAUUCAGGUCAAUCAGAUAGAAAGCACGGAAAGGAAAUUGCAGUCUUUCCAUAUUUUUGUAGCUUUUUACCCUCCUACUACUCAUUUUUCUCCUUUGCUUACUCUUAAACAAAUAAAGCCUUAACAACCAAAAUUACAACACCUACAAUUGAUAUACUGAAACAUCAACUACAAUGUGAAGAGGAGGAAAGACUAGUACCAAGAUAAUCUCGUAGCUCCAAAAAACCAAUAUCCAGCUUCCCAAAUAACUCAUUGCACCUAAAACAGAAUCUUCAAGUUAGCACGACUGAGAGAGAUACCAAAUAACAAAUAAGCGUACGAACAGUGAACUACUUAAUAAGUAAGGACAAAACGAACAAUUGUUAAAACCUGAUAACUAGUAACUUGCUUUUAGCUUCUGUACUGCUGUACAGUGAAGAUCUAUAUCAGAGAAGCUGCAAGAAACUGUUUUGCUUUACGCAGUGGCAAAAAGGAAAAGACACUUGGAAUAUAUUAACACAAUAACCUCGAUCGCAACAGCUUUUUAGCACCCUACAUGAAUGCGGGGUACGUUUUACAUGUGACAAACAGUUUCAAAAUCAUAUAAAUCAGUAAAUGUGUAAAACUGUGUCUCUAACAUUGCGUCAACGCUUUUACGGAAAUAUUAAUUUUUCUUAGGGAAAGGACAAUGUCUUGGCAAAGUAAUUUGAUCAUAGCAAACUUAGAAAUUCUUAACUACGGAGUACUUUUUUUAAGUUGCUCCCCUACAUUCUGUCAUAGUGUCCUGUCAUUCAAAUGGCAACUCACAAAUGAUUGAAGAGAAGGACUGAGAAAGUAGGGCAUACCAAAUGAUAUGAUAUCAAUGUGCCAACGGCACCAAACAACAUAAUGGUCGUAAAGUUCCUGAAAAACUGCUUCUUUUUCACCUGGAAACUGAUAAAGUGAAAAUAUUGAAUUGUCAGUCCCAUCAAGUUACAGUUAACACCUAAAUAACUUGCUAAAUAGAAAAAAUGGAGCAUGCUUUUAUCUGCUUUCUGUCUAGUUGUCUGUUAUCCAAUAACACCAGCAGUGAAUUAAGGCGACAUCCUGAGUCUAAUGCAUCAAAGCUUCUUUUUUUUUUCUUUUUUGCAAAGACACCAAAAAUAACUUGUUACAGUAAACUGAAAAUUAUUUAAGCCAUAUAUCACUGAAUCAAAAUAGGGAAAGAGAAAACAAGUGUUCUUUCUCUUCCAUUUUAAGACGGGGGAGCACUAAACUAUAGUAUGCGAAAAUGCAAUAAACGAACUCAAAACUGUCACAACCACAUUAUGAUUGACACACAACUAUAAACAGGCAUGAAUCGGACAACUUACCCAGCAUUUAAUAUGAUGGGUGGUAGAACAUAAAUAAAGAAGAGCUCAUGUUCGUCAAAUUCUAAGAGAUGAGAGCUCUUUCCAUUAGUAGUUAAUAAUUAAUAUAAUGCCUCCAGUACAUAAACCCUACAAUCAAAAUGACAAUUAUCAUCUAUUGCAGCAAAAACCAAAAGCAUAGUCUACUAUAAAACUGUUUUCAGAAAUAAUAUCAUCAAUCAUGCACGUAAUAUGUGUUUGCACUGACUAAAAUUGCAGUCUAAUUACAACUUUACUAAAGGAAUUUCCUCUUCGAGCUCGUAAAACCCACUAAUGUUUCAACAAAUAUUUAAUUCUGAACCCAAAAAGUCACAAGAACGACGUGUUUAGUGCUAAAGAUCUUAAGACUGAACCCGUUAUUUGGAAUUCCGAAUCCGCCUCUAUUAAGGGCAUUCGGUCUUCUAGAUCAUACACGGGACAAGCCCUUUUUAUAUGUGUAGAGAUACAACAUUGAUUCAGUAAAGGAAAAAAGACUCACGAGACGGACUCGUUAAUCCAACGAUUCUCUUCAAGAAGAUGACCAAUCACAAUGCAUCCACAAAGAAGAGCCACAAACAGAGUUAUGGAAUCGACAGAGACUUGAUCAUCAUCUGACAACAUGCUUACCCUCAAUCUUGCCACAGCAUCCAACCCCAUAACUACAACUAGCCACACUGGUAGACAAACUCGAAAUAAUAACGCCGUUACCAUUUUUAAUACCCUGCACCUAAUGGACCAACGGACCCACCUUUGACUUGUAUAAGGGAAAACAGAAGAUGUAUCAUGAUAGUGAAUUUAACGGAAAGUGAAACUAUAGUUAUUUUCUAUACAAGAAGAAAAUCACAUUUGUUGAAAUAUAUCUGAUGCAAUGAAAGACAAUUUUCUACAAUAUCAUAGCAGAGACUCAGUAAUCCCAUGUAUAUGCAAACAAUCUGAAAGAACAAAGCUUGGAAUACAUAAACUAGAGUACCUGUUUUAAGCAUACAAAAUGAAGAAAAAGUGGGAUAGUAAUAAUUGAUAUCAAUACAAUAUUCACCACACAGCAGAGUAAAAGAAAAGGAGUGAAAUAGCAGGGAGAAUGCAUUAGAUAUCUGAGGAUUCAUCUUUAGCCUCAAAAGCUGGAUGUAUUCCUUGCAUGCGUUCUGCAAAAGAAAAUUAUACUGGUCAAAUUCCGCCACAUAAAAUGAAUUGAAGGAGGUAAUAAGUUCGUCUAUACUCACAUAUUUUCCCUGGGUAAAAGUGCUCAAGACUUAUAAACAAGGACCUGAAUGACCUGAAUAUCCCCCCAUCAAAUUUUCCCAGGGCAAUGUUUAUGGCACUAGUGUUGUCACAGAAAUUAGGAAUACAAUCAACAAAAAUACCUUAGUCCCUUAGCAGUUGUCUUAUCUACAACAAUUGAGCAUAUCAAGAUUCUACUGCCACAUAUUCAGCCUCAGAUGUAGAUAAAGACACUGGGUUCUGCUUUUUUGUUCCCCAAGAUACCAAACAAGAACCAAGUAAAUGUGUUGUUCCUGAAGUGUUUUUCUUGUCAACAUAAAAACUAGUCAGCAUCAGCAUAACCAACUAGAUCAAAGUUAUACCCUCUAGGAUACCAUAGACACAGAUCAUGAGUCUUUUUAAGUUAACUGAGUAUCCUUUUAACAUCCUUCAUAUGAUAUUGUUUGAGAUUUGCCUGAAAUCUUGCACACAAUCCUACACUGAAUACAAUAUCAAGCCUGCUUGUUGUGAGAUCCAAUAGUGACCCAAUCUGUAAUGACCCGACCGGUCGUUUUGAGUGAUGUAUUAUAACUUAUGUGAAUCAUUGGUUUUGUUUUCAGGUUAUUCGGAAUUGAUUUGGAAGAAUGCAUUUCAUGAUUUAAGUCUUAAAGUUGGAAGAAUUGACCAAGUUUGACUUUUUAGUAUUUGAACUUGGAUUGGAGUUUUGAUGGUUCAGAUGGUGAUUUUGGGCUCGGACGUAUGCCCAAAUUUGCAUUUACAUAUUUCUAGAAGGUUUCAGCGCUAAUUGGCAAAAGUUAGAAAUUUAAAAGUUUGGAAAGUUCAUAAGUUUGACCGGGAGUUGACUUUGAUGAUAUCGAGUUCGGAUUGUUGUUUCGGGAAUUUGAAUAGAUUUGUUAUGUCAUUUGAGACUUGUGUGCAAAAUUUGAGCUCAUUGCCGGUUGAUUUGAUAUGUUUCGGCAGAAGUUUUGGAAGUUGAAAAAAUCAAAGUUCAUUAAGUUCAGUUUGAGGUGAGAUUCGUCGUUUCGAUAUUGUUAUGUGUGAUUUGAGGCCUCGAGUAGGUUUUUGACUUGUUGGUAUGUUCGGACAGGGUCCCGAGGGGCUCGGGCAUAUUUUGGAUUGAUUUCGGACUCUAAUGCCUCGAUUGUCCUUCGCGGUCGCGAAGAUGGGUAUGUGUCACGACCCAAAAUCUCACCCGUGGUGAUGGCUCCUACCUUAAUACUAGGCAAGCCAAAAAUCUCAAUAAAUCACAAUUUCUCUCAAGAUUGAAAAUAUAAUAUUUAAAUACAAUACAAACACCAUUCAAAACCUGGUGUCACUGAGUACAUGAGCAUUUAAUAUGAAUACAAGUCUGGAAAAUAUAGUCUGUAAUAGUCUGAGGCCAAAUAUAGUGAACAAAGAGAUAGAGAAGGAGAGACAAGGUCUACGGUACAUGGCAGCAAUCUCAAAAUCUCCUUAAAUUCAACCACGCGAAAGGAUCAACACCCGCUAUAUCCGGGAAUACCUGGAUCUGCACACGAAGUGCAGGGUGUAGUAUGAGUACAACCAACUCAGCAAGUAACAAUAAUAAAUAAGGAACUGAAGAUAAUAACGAGCUACAUAGUUAUGGUUUACUUCCAGUAAUUCCAGCAAAGAAUAGACAUGCUAUCAAAUCUGGCAGUUUAAUGUCAAAUCAAUUUUUUAUACAUUUCCUGUUCAUGUAAUCCGUAUAUCAACUAUCUUUCAAAGAUUUCUCAAUAAUGACAGAUAGCAACUAAGUGCAACAACAAAUGAAAAUCAAGUACAACCUCUUAGGACAACAAUCACUCUCUGGGCUCCCAGCCCUCAUCACUCCUAGGGCUCCCAGCCCUCAUCACUCUCUCAAUGGGUACCCGUGCUCACUUGGGGUGUACAAACUCAUGAGGGGAUCCUACAGUCCAAGCGCUAUAAGCACGGACAACUCACGUGCCAUAAUAUAAAUAUCUGGAUCCGCACGGCCAACUCACGUGCAAUAAUAAUAUAAGGAUCCGCACGGCCAACUCACGUGCUGCACGGCCAACGCACGUGCAAUAAUAAGCCAAUAAGGCCUGCUGCAGGCGGGCAACCUCGAUCUAUAAAAUAUCCUCACAAUCAGGCCCCCGGCCUCCCNNNNNNNNNNNNNNNNNNNNNNNNNUAACAGAGACUGAGAUAAAAUGUGCAAGUAAAAACUGAGACUGAGUAAAUAUAGCAUUUAGCAGGCAAUUCAACAAGUACACGACCUCUGUGGGUCCCAACAGUACUAUCACAUAGCCUAAGCAUGAUUUCUAACAUGAUUCACAGUCAAAUUUUAUCAACACAUAGAGGGCAUAUAGCUAACAAUAAAUUAUUCAACUUUACAGUUUCCCAGGACGGAUCAAAUCACAACCCCCUCGGUGCACGCCCACAUGCUCGUCACCUAGCAUGUUCGUCACCUCCAAAAUAAUCACAUGAUACCAAAAUUCCGGGUUUAAUACCCUCAGGACCAGAUUUAAAACUGUUACUUACCUCAACCCGUGUAAUUAUUUAUUCCGCUAUGCCCUUUCCACGAGAAUUGGUUUCCGAAAGCCUCAUAUCUAGCCACAAUUAAUUCGAUUCAAUCAAUACCAAUUAUUGUAAUUAAUUCCAUAAGGAGAUACUAAGUUUUCCAAAAAAAUCUAAAAUUAACUCAAAAUUAGCUCGGGGCCCACGUAUCGGAAUUCGACAAAAGUUACAGAAUAUGAACGCUCAUCCAACCACGAGUCCAACCAUACAAAUUUCACCAAAAUCCGACACAAAUUCGACCCUCAAAUCUUCAAUUAAAGUUUAUGAAGAUUUCUACAUUUUCAACCCAAUCCUUACCCAUUUGAACUUAACAAUCUUUCCACAACCUUAUUGGUAUGUAUAUAUGAUACUCUACACCCAAGAAUCACACUAUUAAUCACCCAUCUUUACUCCAAACCCGAAAUUGAAGAAUUAGAGAAAGAAAUUCGUACCUCUUUGAAGCCCUAGCAAGAUCCUUGUAAAAUUUUCAAACUUUGAACAAAUAUUGAUAGAUAAAUGACUAAGUCUUCACUUUCUCUCUCUAAAAUGCUCUCACCUCUCUCUGAAAUAUCAGAUUUUGGCUAAAAAUUGAGCUUCAAGGGCUAUAAAUCGAAGUUGGGUCGGGUCAAAAAUUAGAAAGAAUAGAAGCUCUGACGCAGUUAUGCGGUCGCAUAUGCGAUCGCAUAACAGGUAUGCGGUACGCAUACCAACCGCAUAAUUUGGCCUCAAAAGCUAGGCGUUACUGACCUGUUCUGCGAUAAUUAUGCGGUCCACAUACUUGUUCUACGAUCGCAUAAUGCACCGUAAAAUAGGUCUGCGGUCGCAUAGUGCACCGCAGAUUUUCCUCAAAUCUUGCCCUCCUCCUGCUCCACUUUGCAACCAUUAUGCGGUUCGCAGAGUGAUUCUGCGACCGCAAGGUCGCAAAAAUGACCAUUUUCUAGCAAAAUGUUUUCUUUACACAUCGGUGCAUUGUUCAUCCCAAAAAGUCCGAGCCGCGGCAAGUUUGCGAACCGCGAGAAAUUUCUAUAAUCUUUGUACUAAUUGAUCUACCUCGGCACCACCAAAGCUUAAUUUCCUUAGCAAAAUUUCUCCGAGGUCGUUACACAUAAGUUAGCAUCCGGUCAACCUUUUCAACUUAAAUUCUAAAUCUUGGAACUAAGUGCUCCAAAUCAUUUCAAAACCUUACCGAACCCAAACCAAUUACCCCGGAAAGCCAAAUAACAACUGUAAUUCACAAUUUGAGGAGUAAAUAGGGGAACGAGAUUGCAAUAGUCAAAAUGACCGACCGAGUCAUUACAGUAUGCGAUCGCGUAGAGGAAAUAUGGAGCUGGGCAUUUUCUUCAUCGCGGUCACGAUUGGGUAGCUGCGUUCGCAUAUAGUUGGGGCUGGUCUUCAUCGCAUUCAUGUAUGCUUCUAUGCGUUCGCGUAGUGUUUGGGGCUAAACUGGGCAGGGUGCUAGUUACCUCUUCGUGUUCGUGAUGGUGUUUCUGCGAACACAUUGUUAUGUCAGCCUUAUGUAUCGUAUUCGCGAGUCUAUUUCUGCGAUCAUGUUGUGCAUUUUCAGAAGUAGUGCAUUUUCUUCUUCGCGAUUGUGAUGGUAUUUCCGCGAUCGCGAUUCAUUGAUUCGCCCAGUGAGUAUAAGUACUCUAAUUUUGGGGGUUUCAGCCAUUUUUGCAUAUUUGGAGCUAUGAGGCUCAGAUUGAGACAAUUAUUGAAGUAUUAUUUACCAUAUGGAUUAGGGUAAGUCUUCUCUACUCGGUUUUGAUUAUACUUCAUGAAUCUAUUUUCAUUUUUGGCAAUUGGUUAUUGAUUUUAAAGAGAAAAUUGGGGGGGGGGGGGUUGUCUAAAGUUUCAUAGAGUGAAUUUUUGAGUUUUGAACAUCGAUUCAGAGUUGGAUUUGAGUUAAACUAGCAUGGUUGGACUCGUAAUUAAAUGGAUUAUCAGAUUUUGUAAGUUUUGUCGGGUUCCGAGGUGCGGGCUCAGGUUUGACUUUUUGGUUGACUUUGGGCUUUUGAUUAAAGAUUCAACCUUUAUCGAUUGGGUUCGUUUCCUUUUAAAUUAUUUGAUGUUCUUGAGUUGCUUUUGGCUAGUUUUGAGUCGUUCAGAGCUCGGAACGCGCGAUAUGGUGUUUUUAGAGUAUUGAUUGGCUUGCUCGGUAUUGAAUUUGGCUUGUUCAAGGUAAAAAAUACUUCUAAACAUGGAGCUGAGGGUAUGAACCCCUGGAUAUAUAUGCUAUAUGUUGGGGUUGAGGUGAUAAAGAUGCUAGGUGACGGGUGUGUGGGCGUGUACCAUAUGAAUUAUGACUCGAUUGAUUCUGUGGUACUAUGUAGUGACCUAAUCUUAUUUCUAUCCAUGAAAUUGCUAUAUGCUAGAGUAAUUGAGCUGUGAUACAUGUUAGAAUCCAUGUCUAGGCUAUAUACUUAUCCUGUUGAGACCCACUGAUUGUGAGGAUGUUUAUGGGAUCGGGUUACACAUUGCAGUAGGCUUUAUUGAUUCAUUCCAUGAUUGGCUUAUUAUAGCAUUUGGUCUGGAUCUGCCCAUCCGGAGUCUGCACACUCAUAGUGAGCGCAAUUGCUAUUAAUGUUUGAGCUAGAUCUUUCCUGGGCUGGAUCUUCCCUAUAUAGUGGCAAGCGCGAGUGCCGAGUGACUAUGAGGAUUGCGUGAUUGUGAGGAGUGAGUGACUCUGAGGACUGAGUGACUGUGAUGAUUGAGUGAUUGGGAGGACUGAGUGCAUUGAUACUCCGAGAGUAUGUAUAUGGUUUUACCACGGCGUUGCAUUAUAGUUGGCAUGCAUUCUUGGUAUGUAGGCAUUGAGAUGUAUUUCCUCGCGUUGUACGGUAUAGUGAUAUUCGUGACAUUAACAUGCACAGUGACAUGUAGGCAUAAAGAUGUACUUUCCUCAUGCCAUCUGAUAAUGAGACUUCUUAUCUGUUGUUGAAAGUCUUUGGAAAAAAUCACAGAUUUCUGAUUUACCCAUAUUUGUUUUGGAGAUUUCUGUGAAAGAUUUGGGAUUUACUGUUAUACUUGAAAAGUAUGACUAUUUUCCAUAAUUGUGAACUAGGUGAGUAUUAUAUCUCUGAGUUGGUUCUUGUACUACUUUUAUUAUAUUGUUAUGAGUUGUUAUUGGAUAUCGAUGUCGAACCUUGACCGUUGUCCAAGCUCGUCACUACAUUCAACUUAAGGUUAGGUUUGUUACUCAUUGAGUACAUGUGGUCGGUUGUACUGACACUACACUUCAGCACCUUGCAUACUGAUUUUGGAUGUUGAUGUUGCUGUAUAUGGUGGGAGCUGGAAUUGAAGAGGUAACUACGCUUCGGUCAUAACUGUCUCUUAUUCUUGGCAGCUUUAGGAUUUUUAAUUUGUUCAUGUAUAUUUUAGACAUAUGAUGUAUUUAUUUCAUACCAGCUUUGUAAAUUCUAAAUCUUAGACGCUCAUGAUUUGUACUAUCAGUCCUUGGAAAAUGUAUAAAGGUUCAGUUAUUUUAUCAUUUAAACUUCCCUUCUUUCUUUUCUUAUCAUGCGACAUUGAUUCACCUUGAAGCGUAUCUCUUUGAAUUCUUUCCACUCACUCGUAUCUGUAUGUGAUUGAUCGGUAUCAACUGUACAUUAACGACCUGUGCAAUUCAAUGGAUAAGGUACGAGAUGUGUUUUCUGUGUUUUGGUAAUGGGCCAGUCUGAAGGACUUGAGUCUAGGUUUAGACCGCACUUUAGGCUCGGCAAUUUCGGUUGUGUGAAUAUAUGUUUUUGGACUUAAAUAUAUGGUAGUACCCCUAUAAGUGGGAUUUGUGUUUCGAUGAGUGGUUGGAUGGAUAUAUGAUGAGUAUGAUAUGACUGCGGGAUAUAUUCAUAUGGUUUGAACAUGAUGCGUGAGUUUGCUUGGGAAGUGAAAAGGACUAUUGGGUGCUUAAUUUCUAUCUUGAUUUGACAUAUAGUCUUAAGUUAUGAGUGGGUUGAAGGGUCUUUCAGGUUGCCUAGUUGUGGAACAAAUUAUAUUCUCAAGUCUUGUUGAUGAGUUCAGACUUAGGAAGAUUAAGUGAUUGCGUAUAGAGAGAUUCCAACUUGGGGCUAAACAGAUGAGUUAUGACCUGUGGGGUAAUCUACGGAUGUGUGAUUCUUAUGAUGUUAUGUGGAGGCUUUAUUUUCUUCCAGUGUGUUAUAUUUUUUCGAUUUGAGUUUGGAUCGAUUGUAAUAGUUGACCUGACCGUCACGAGGAUGAAUGCGAGAUUUGAAGAUGAUUUGAGGUAUUAUAUGGUUUGUGUUACAUGAGCUUAUGAAGGAUUGAGUUGAAUCUCACUGCGAUAUUAUGGCAUUAAUAAAGUAUGUGCAUUGUGAGUUAACGAGUGUUUUGAUCUAUGGCUUUAAGCCAAGUGGGGGAGUCUUCUAUCAACGAUUUUUGUUGCAUGGUUACGUAUUGUACUGUUUUCAGUCUGAGGCAUGCUGACGGAUCGGUUAUGUCUUGAAGAUGAUCGUUUUGAGGAUGACUUAAGCAAGAAAAUUUCUAGAUGCAUAGUGUAUUACACUUUAUGGGUGCAUUAGAAAUCACAGAAUGAUUGAGUUGUUAUUCAUGGAAUAUGUAGUACUCAUGGAGUAGGAAUUUGCUCGAUUGCAUUAAGGUGGGGUUAUUUCUUUGGGUAUUAUCGUGCUAAUGGGGCACAAUUCGUUUGGCCCGUUUGAGGCGGUGCGAUUGAGAUUUGAGCAGAGUGGAUGACUGUCGAGAAGGUUCUAAUUGAUUCAAGAUUUAUAUGUAGCAAUUGAGAAUUUUCCGGAUUUGUAUAUGGCUAGAAUCUGAGAUUUGCAUUGGAUGGUGUCGAGACUCGUAGUAUUUCUAUGUCAUUAUGGAUUCUACAUUUCAGUAUCAGGAAGAUAAAUGAAACAGUUUUAGGUUCACAUAAGGUCUCCUCAAAUUAGGUGUCUUGAUUGUGGUGAUUUAGGGUGCUAAGAGAGUAUACAACGGCUUGUGGGCCUUAGGGCGGUGUGGUUUUAUAUUAGGAUCUCUUAUGGUGAGCUUUGGGGGUAAGGAUAAUGGCAUUCUCGCAAGGACAAGUAUCAACUUGAGGGUAAUUUGGAAGGAACUCAGAGAAAUGGGACAUCUUAGUAGUGGGUUGGAUCUACAGGUGUUUUGUGGCAAUUCUCUUAGGCUUGGCGACCUGCGUUGCUUGGUUGAGUUAGAGAGAUUCAGUUCUGAUAGCUUAGUUAUGUACAAAUAGGUUUUGAAGAGUUCUUGAUGAUUUUUACCACAGUUCGAGGUGGAUAUUUUCUACUGACGUGAGGAGCAUGUUGCGUAUUGUGAAUUUUUCCUAGAUUAGAUCAAAUGGAGGGUUUCUGACUGACUGGGUAUGUAUUCUGCUUGUGACUCAGAGUUGAUUAUGAGAUACUCAUACUUUUCAUAUGAUGGAAUGAUAGAUGUGGUGUGUUAUGUGGGAUUGAGAUUUGCAUGUGCAAGGUCACAAGUCAGUUUUGAAGGAAAGGUCAUGAAUUCUUAGACAGUAUAGAUGGUUUUCGAUGUUUAGAUGAAUGCUAUAACUACUUGGUAUUGCCUGAGAAAGGUGCACAUCUUAGAAGGCGCACUGAGUUUGGACUUACGAAUGCUUCAUUGGUAUUGUGGUACUCGCCUGGUUGAUCGACUACUGAUAUUCAGAUUUUUCUACAUGGGAUAGAAGAACUAUAAAAGCAUUCCUCAAGGGAUGAUCGUGUAUGAGAGAUGUGCUAGACAUUCGGGUGGUGGAGUUGGGAUCAGAUAUGGUAAUUCGUGUGUUCUAUAGAUUUGGAGACCGGGAGUUCUUAGAAAAAGAUUGUUUCGUGGUUGUGGACUGUGAAGAUGUGUCCAAAGCUAGUCAAAUUAUAGUAUGUGUUAUGGUUAGGUCAUUGUGGACUUUCGGAGGGUUAUUUAUCUAUUUAUGGAUGACCAGGGUUGAUUUGGAGGCUCAUUGGUAGGCCUAAUAAAGAUGUGUAUUCUAUAUCGGGUCAGAUUGGUUAUCUCCGCACUGCUAUUGUUGAGGUAUGUGUCAUUCGGUUAGAAUUGAUCUCAUUCAUAUCUCGUAUGUUCUAUGAAUUACUCUUCUAUGCUACGAGGGGUUGUGAUUUGUUGGUUAUAUGCACACAUGGUGCGAUUAGGGUAUUGAAUGGUUGAUUACCUCUUGGUUAUGGUCCUUUUCUGGUUGUGAUAUAUUAUGUUAUUUGCUUCUUCGUGGUUAUGGUCAUGCACUUGGGUACUUGACAUCGAAUUGUGUGUGGUUGUUGAUUUUGAGCAUUGUAGCUUGAGGUAUUUCACAUAGGUCAGUAUUUGAAUAGGGUCUCACACUGCAGCGAAGUUAUGUUGGGAUGUGAUUCUUUGUGUUAGAUUCAUGUGUUUUGGUUCUACGACGUGUGAUGGUUUCUUAGCAUUUCGUUUUGGUGGUACUUGUUGAGCUUGCGGAACGGUUCUCUCGUUUGAGUCAUUUUCUAUUUUUGAGUGCAUUUGAAUUGUUGCGUAUCGGUGCAUGGAUUGCACAAUUUGUUGAUCUAGGUAGUAGUGGUGUGGCAUGUCAAUAGAGUAGCUUGUAUGUGAUGAGAUGAUGUCAUUGGGACUAAAGUGAUUGCUAUCGAAUUUGAUUACAGUGUGUUUGGAGGAAUAAUACCGGAAGUCGGCUUAGCAUUUGGCUUUGGUUCUGAUUGGGCGAGAGAGGGCUCCAUGACUUGUUGAUCUGAUACAUGAUUAUGAUUUUUGCGUGUUUCUUCCAUCAUCGGCAGUGGAUGAAGGUUUUAGAAUAGGGUUUUGUGUGAUAUAAGAUUACUACCGGUACCAGGUUUGUUUUGAGCAAUUACUGUGAUCGAAAAUUUGGCUACGAGUAUGCGAGCCAUGUGGUAUGUCAUAUGAUUAUACCUUAGGUUAAGGUUAUGGCUUGAUAUAGCUUGUUCAGACUUAUACAGUGUAUAAAUGCGGGAUUUAGGUCUUAUAGGAAAUUCAGGAUUUUGGAAAUCAGAUUCUAAGGUUUAUGGGCUAAGGUUGAAUUAAGGAUAUUCAGUUAGGUUAUGUCGACAGGCUUAUAUGGAUUAGUGUGAUGUGGGAUCACCCCCGGGUAUGUGCAUGGUAAGGUAACACAGUGAUUUGACGGAUAUGCAACAUAUCUUGGCACGUUCAACGAUGAACGUAUGUUUAAGUGUGGAAGAAUGUAAUGACCCGGCCGAUCGUUUUGAGCAAUUGCACUUCGCUCGGUGGUUUAAGAGCAUGAGUAGCUCCGUGUGAUGUAUUAUGACUUGUGUGAAUCAUCGGUUUUGGUUUUCAGGUUAUUCAGAAUCGAUUUGGAAGAAUGAAUUUUAUGAUUUAAGCUUUAGAAUUGGAAAAGUUGACAAAGUUUGACUUUUUAGUAUUUGACCUCGGAUUGGAGUUUUGAUGGUUCUGUUAGGUCCUGAUGGUGAUUUUGGACUCGGGCAUGCCUGUAUUUUCAUUUGGAUAUUUCUAAAAGGUUUUGGCGCUAAUUGGCGAAAGUUAGAAAUUUGAAGGUUUGGAAAAUUCAUAAGUUUGACCAAUAGUUGACUUUGAUGAUAUAAGAUUCAGAUUGUGGUUCUAGGAACUUGAAUAACUUCAUUAUGUCAUUUGGUACUAGUGUGCAAAAUUUGAGCUCAUUCCGGGUUGAUUUGAUAUGUUUUCGCACGCGUUUUGGAAGUUGAAAAGUUCAAAGUUUAUUAAGUUCGAUUUGAGGUGCGAUUCAUCAUUUUGAUGUUGUUAUGUGUGAUUUGAGGCCUCGAGUAGGUAUGUGUUUUGUUUUAGGACUUGUUGGUAUAUUCGGACGGGGUCCAGAGGUGCUUGGGCGUCUUUCGGAUUGAUUUCAGACCAUUUUUCUUCAUGUUUUCAUUAUUGGUUGUUGCUGGUUUAAAUUGUUACACCCCAUGUUUUCGUACGUGAAAGUGCUCCAUAAAUAAAUUGAUGGAAGCUCGGAAAUGAGAUGUUACAUCCCGUAUUUUCGUACGUUAAAGUUUCGUCGUAAGUUAAUCGACGUAAGUUCGGGAAUGAGAUUAUUUUGAGAUUAUAAGCAUUAUGCUAUUUCAAAUAAGUGACGAGUAAAUUCGUGAAGGUGAGAGGGUAAGCAAAUCGAAGAAAAUGAAUUUCGUCGAAGUUUGACAUUUUGAGAUAAAAUACGGUCCAAGCUACAAUACUUCGUAUUUAUGGACUAGUGCUAUACAAGGUACUACAUGACCAUGAAAGCAAGAUGUAUAAAGUGUGUUAAAAAGUGAGUAGUAUUUUAAGUAAUUUGAGAUAAUUCUUAAUUAUAUGGGUAAUUGGUUAAUUAUUGGAUUUGUGGAUAAAUAUUUAGGUGAGAUUUGUUGGAUAAUUAUAAGGGGGCAACAUCUAUGUGGGAUUUUGGAAAUUUGGCAGCAAGUUGCCAUCUAGUCAUAUGCUUAAGGAGGUGGUGGCUUAUUUAGAGAAUUUUGUGGCUUAAUCACCACAUAAAGUGGGACCCACGUCCAUAUACAAAGCAUCUCCAACUUAAGAGACAUUCUAAGUAACAUAAAGAUCUUCCAAUUUCAACUUACGUAGAAGGCUCUCUAACUUGGUAACAUGAAUUCUUCAAUAUGAAUUCACUAUGGUUUCUAAAGGCUUGAACAUGAGUUUCUUAAUAUAAACUCAUGCGUGCCUUACAAAUCAAAUGGAAUUUCUUGCGCAAGUAGAGUGGGCUGAUCGUGAGUAAGUAAGAAAGCAAAACAAUUCCAUACCAAAUUCUAAGAUAAUCGGUUCAGGUAUGUUAAGGCUAUCCCUUCUUUACUUUUGGCAUGAUCUAUACGACACGAAUGAAAUGAGCAAAUGCACAACUUCCAUAAAUAACUCUAUUCAUAGAAGUAUUAGAGGUGUCUAUGUUCUUGAAUUCCCAUGUGUCUUAUUAUUACAUCAUCCGUUCAUGGGUCUCAGGAAAUACGUAAGUUGAUAAAGUUUGUUUUAUGAUAUUAAUGUAUAAUGGUCUUAUGACGUUCCAAGAGAUUUUAUUGACGUAAUUCUUAUGCAUUUCAUGCAUUUAAACAUGUACAUUGACCCAUGACCAAAUGGCGUUAUAUAUGCGUAUAUUAUAUGUAUAUGGGAUAUGAAAAAAGGUUAUGGCGUUAUAUACGUACCACCAUCUGAUCAGCUGGUAUACGUUGAUGAUUUGCCUACAGUGGCCUAAAUGAUAUGAUGGGAUGUCCUCAGAGGCUUAAUGAUGUUAUGUACUCAUAUACCUAUGCAUGGUAUGACAUUUUAUAUGCAUAUGCACGGCAUUAUAAAUAUUAAUAAUUCACAGAGUUAUUCAGACAUACAUGUU
rnacentral:lncRNA from 1 species